UGACGAAGGGUGCUAGCGUUGUUCGGAAUUACUGGGCGUAAAGCGCGCGUAGGCGGCCAUUCAAGGUCAGAGGUGAAAGCCCGGAGCUUAACUCCGGAACUGCCUUUGAAACUGUAUGGCUUGAGUGUCGGAGGGGAUAGCGGAAUUGCUAAUGUAGAGGUGAAAUUCGUAGAUAUUAGCAGGAACACCGGUGGCGAAGGCGGCUAUCUGGACGACAACUGACGCUGAGGCGGCGAAAAGCGUGGGGAUCAAACAGG
rnacentral:rRNA from 1 species